rnacentral:rRNA from 1 species
UACGGAGGGUGCAAACGUUGCUCGGAAUCAUUGGGCGUAAAGGGCGCGUAGGCGGCCUGCUAAGUCGAACGUGAAAUCCCUGGGCUCAACCCAGGAACUGCGUCCGAUACUGGUUGGCUUGAAUCCGGGAGAGGGACGUGGAAUUCCAGGUGUAGCGGUGAAAUGCGUAGAUAUCUGGAGGAACACCGGUGGCGAAGGCGACGUCCUGGACCGGCAUUGACGCUGAGGCGCGAAAGCCAGGGGAGCAAACGGG